rnacentral:tRNA from 2 species
GCCGGUUUAGCUCAGCCUGGGAGAGCACUCGACUGAAGAUCGAGCCGUCCGUAGUUCAAAUCUGCGAACCGGCA